rnacentral:rRNA from 1 species
CCGCGGUAAUACGAAGGGAGCUAGCGUUGUUCGGAAUCACUGGGCGUAAAGCGCACGUAGGCGGAUGUGUCAGUCAGGGGUGAAAUCCCGGAGCUCAACUUCGGAACUGCCCUUGAUACAGCACGUCUCGAGUCCGAGAGAGGUGAGUGGAAUUCCUAGUGUAGAGGUGAAAUUCGUAGAUAUUAGGAAGAACACCAGUGGCGAAGGCGGCUCACUGGCUCGGUACUGACGCUGAGGUGCGAAAGCGUGG